UACGGGGGGGGCAAGCGUUGUUCGGAAUUACUGGGCGUAAAGGGCUCGUAGGUGGCCAACUAAGUCAGACGUGAAAUCCCUCAGCUUAACUGGGGAACUGCGUCUGAUACUGGAUGGCUUGAGUUUGGGAGAGGGAUGCGGAAUUCCAGGUGUAGCGGUGAAAUGCGCAGAUAUCAGGAGGAACACCAAUUGCGAAGGCAGCUCGCUGGGACGUUACUGACGCUGAGGAGCGAAAGCGUGGGGAGCGAACAGG
rnacentral:rRNA from 1 species